rnacentral:misc_RNA from 1 species
GCAAACUUGGUCAUUUAGAGGAAGUAAAAGUCGUAACAAGGUUUCCGUAGGUGAACCUGCGGAAGGAUCAUUACAGAGAACCUGCCUCAAAGUGGGGUAGAUAUCUCCACCCUUUGUUUACUCUACCUUUGUUGCUUUGGCAGGCCCGUCGUAAUGACCACCGGCUUCAGCUGGUCAGUUUGCCUGCCAGAGGACCCUAACUUCUAAAUUUUGUUUGUCAGAGUACUACAACAAUUGUUAAAACUUUCAACAACGGAUCUCUUGGUUCUGGCAUCGAUGAAGAACGCAGC